AGAGCGAACGCUGGCGGCAGGCCUAACACAUGCAAGUCGAGCGCCCGUAGCAAUACGGGAGCGGCAGACGGGAUAGUAACACGUGGGAACGCGCCCUUCGGUUCGGAAUAACUCAGGGAAACUUGAGCUAAUACCGGAUACGCCCUUACGGGGAAAGAUUUAUUGCCGAAGGAACGGCCCGCGUCCGAUUAGCUAGUUGGUGAGGUAAUGGCUCACCAAGGCGACGAUCGGUAGCUGGUCUGAGAGGAUGACCAGCAUCACUGGGACUGAGACACGGCCCAGACUCCUACGGGAGGCAGCAGUGGGGAAUAUUGGACAAUGGGCGCAAGCCUGAUCCAGCCAUGCCGCGUGGAUGAUGAAGGCCUUAGGGUUGUAAAGUCCUUUUAACGGGAAGAUAAUGACGGUACCCGUAGAAUAAGCCCGGCUAACUUCGUGCCAGCAGCCGC
rnacentral:rRNA from 1 species